rnacentral:rRNA from 1 species
GACAGAGGGUGCAAACGUUGCUCGGAAUUACUGGGCGUAAAGCGUGCGCAGGCGGUUAUGUAAGACAGAUGUGAAAUGCCCGGGCUUAACCUGGGAACUGCAUUUGUGACUGCAUGGCUAGAAUCUGGCAGAGGGGGGUAGAAUUCCACGUGUAGCAGUGAAAUGCGUAGAUAUGUGGAGGAAUACCGAUGGCGAAGGCAGCCCCCUGGGCUAAGAUUGACGCUCAUGCACGAAAGCGUGGGGAGCAAACAGG